GACGAACGCUGGCGGCGUGCCUAAUACAUGCAAGUUAAGCGCUGAAGGUUGGUACUUGUACCAACUGGAUGAGCAGCGAACGGGUGAGUAACGCGUGGGGAAUCUGCCUUUGAGCGGGGGACAACAUUUGGAAACGAAUGCUAAUACCGCAUAAAAACUUUAAACACAAGUUUUAAGUUUGAAAGAUGCAAUUGCAUCACUCAAAGAUGAUCCCGCGUUGUAUUAGCUAGUUGGUGAGGUAAAGGCUCACCAAGGCGAUGAUACAUAGCCGACCUGAGAGGGUGAUCGGCCACAUUGGGACUGAGACACGGUCCAAACUCCUACGGGAGGCAGCAGUAGGGAAUCUUCGGCAAUAGACGAAAGUCUGACCGAGCAACGCCGCGUGAGUGAAGAAGGUUUUCGGAUCGUAAAACUCUGUUGGUAGAGAAGAACGUUGGUGAGAGUGGAAAGCUCAUCAAGUGACGGUAACUACCCAGAAAGGGACGGCUAACUACGUG
rnacentral:rRNA from 1 species